GUGCUCACUUCAGCAGCACAUAUACUAAAACUGGGAUGAUCCAGAGAAGAUUAGCACGGCCCCUGCACAAGGAUGACAUGCAAAUUCAUGAAGCGUUCCAUAUUUUC
ensembl:snRNA U6 U6 spliceosomal RNA